rnacentral:lncRNA from 1 species
AUAUACACAUAUGAAAAGUGGUGAUUCAUUGGAGAGUGUGGGAUCAGAGCAUGACAUAAAUGGUGUCAUAUUAAUCUGAGGAUGACAUUGCAGUGUCAUUCAGAAGGAAAACCAAUUACUACUGUUUGAACAUUACUACUAUGGCAAUGAAGAGAGACCAAUACUUUACUUGUCAACUAAAGCUACGCAGUCCCAGGAUGUGAAAUGUUGUCCAGUCUCUGAGGUAAGAGAAUUAACUUAGAAGGUGCAAGUGAAAAAACAAAACAAAACAUUUUUCUUCUUUGGAAUUUCACAAGUUUACUAAUUUUACAGACAGCA